UACAGAGGGUGCGAGCGUUAAUCGGAAUUACUGGGCGUAAAGCGUGCGCAGGCGGUUUUGUAAGUCUGUCGUGAAAUCCCCGGGCUCAACCUGGGAAUUGCGAUGGAGACUGCAAGGCUAGAAUCUGGCAGAGGGGGGUAGAAUUCCACGUGUAGCAGUGAAAUGCGUAGAGAUGUGGAGGAACACCGAUGGCGAAGGCAGCCCCCUGGGUCAAGAUUGACGCUCAUGCACGAAAGGCGUGGGGAGCAAACAGGAUUACGUAAACCC
rnacentral:rRNA from 1 species